rnacentral:lncRNA from 1 species
CCGAAAUGGGCUAAGAACCCACAACCAUUGCUUUCAAGCAUUAAAUGGCUUGUAUACUGUUUUUUGGGGUUAGAACAUGUUAGAAUACAAUAAUUUUGAUUGAUUACAAGUGCUAGAGCAUCAUGACGAGUGUUUAGAAGUUUGGAGAAAGACUUGUUGAAAUUUGGUCCCAAAUGGGCUAAGAACUCGGAAACAUUGCGUUGAACCACCAAAUG